rnacentral:rRNA from 1 species
GCUUAACGCGAAGAACCUUACCAGGUCUUGACAUCUGGAUGCAAGCACUAGAGAUAGUGCCCUCCUUCGGGACAUCCAAGACAGGUGGUGCAUGGUUGUCGUCAGCUCGUGUCGUGAGAUGUUGGGUUAAGUCCCGCAACGAGCGCAACCCUUGAUCUUAGUUGCCAGCAUUGAGUUGGGCACUCUAGGAUGACUGCCGGUGACAAACCGGAGGAAGGUGGGGAUGACGUCAAAUCAUCAUGCCCCUUAUGACCUGGGCUACACACGUACUACAAUGGCCGGUACAACGGGCCGCGAAGCCGCGAGGCGGAGCCAAUCCUAAAAAGCCGGUCUCAGUUCGGAUUGCAGGCUGCAACUCGCCUGCAUGAAGUCGGAAUCGCUAGUAAUCGCAGAUCAGCAUUGCUGCGGUGAAUACGUUCCCGGGUCUUGUACACACCG